AACUCUGUUCAGCUCUUUCUAUCAUGGAGUUUGCCCGUGUAAAUGGCUUGAAUCAGGUAACUUUUCAACGGAACAUGAGGAUGACAUCAUUCCUUGACACGCAAGAGAUAAAAGAGGGAAUGAGGCGGGAAAAAAAAAAGAGGACACACAACUUCAGACGGAGCGGGAAACAACAAUACAGAUAAGGUAGAGUUUGUGGGAGGAAUGAAGGGUGGAAAAAGUUUCAAAAACAUGCACAAAUAAUAAUAUAAAAGUGAAAGAGGAG
ensembl:lncRNA